AUUUAAUUGAAUUAUUUUUUUACAAACUAUUUAUUCCAAAUGAAGAGAUAACCAAGUACAAUCAGUGCAUGCAACUGUCAUAUACAUAAGAAUAAUUUCAAUAAAGGUACAAAAAUCGUAAAACCUGGCAGCUAUGACUAAAUUUAUGAACAGAAGCAAGUGGGGAGUUGGUGGAAAUCGCAGUGAAAGACACUUUCAUGCUUAACAUACUUCUGUUGCGGAUCAGUCGUUGCCCUUCUUUUCUUCUUUUUAUAUACAAAUCCUCCUUCCGAUAAUGAAAUGGGGAUUUUAUGAGUUGGAAAAGUGAUGCAAUUUACAACUCCUUGUACCAGAAAAAAUACGAGUCUUCAGAGUAAUUAAUGGUUACACAUGCCUCCUGAACUUGAGGAUAUGACAUAACCUAUGAGAAUGUUAGGGCCGGCCAUAGCUGCAAACAACUAUAAGGGCAUAUGGAUCUACAUCACUGCUCCAAUCCUUGGGGCACUAUGUGGAGCAGGAACUUAUCUGCUGUCAAACCGCCGGAGGAAUAAGGUGACACUUUCGAAAAGACUUUGGCAACAAGGAGCUUCAGAAGGUGAAUACCAACAAAUCUAUAUAAGUAAUCCGGAAACUGUCAGAUAAAAGUGCAUAUGAUUCUACAUCAGGAAAAAAAUAUAUAUAUCAAACUACUGCACAUUGAGUUCUGUAGUUAUAUAUACAUGCAUGAGAGAGAACAUGUAUAGAUUGACUAUGUGAUUCUAUCACAUAUGAACAGUACUUUUAUCAUUAUGUGGUGUGUAUAACGAACUUCUAUAACAAGGUGGUCCAAGAAAGGCAGUUUCAGUGCCCCAGAACAAUUGUCGAUUACUUCUUCCUCCUAUUCUUGUCUUUCCCUUUCUACUUUCUAGUUUCUUCCAGUACCAUAAUAACAGGGUACAAUAUUGCAAUCUAAACCCCUUCAAUAUUAUCUGUUAGCAUUAUGCAGCAUAACCCAUUGUGAAAACAGUUGACAUGAUUCACAGCAUGUAAGCAGGUGCCUCAAGCAAAUAUUAGUUUUAGCGAGACACACAACAAGGGAUAUAUGCCUCUUAAAUGUAUGUUACAAGAGCUACCACUUUGCCAUGACUGUCCUAUAAAAUGCACGUUUUCAUUUUCAGAUUCAAGAUUUUCUCUCAACAGAACUUUUGCCCCCAAGUUGAUGACAACCAUUAAGGCUUGCAAAAAGCCAUAAGCCUUUUCUCCAUUAAUAUCUGCAUCCUUUCAAAUUGAUAAAUGGAUACAGAUAUAAAUGUUUGAGUUUACAACCCAUCAAGCUGAGGAUUUUCGUAAAGUUAAAAAGGAACAAGAGAGCAAAUAGUGGUAAGCAAUGCUGUAAGCAAAAACAGAAACAACAAAGAUUAUAAGUUGUACUUUUAACAGCUUUUGAGUGUUAUUUUCAUUUAUAAGUGCUAACAUUGUUAAAUGAACUAAUCUCAAAUUGUCUUGAUUGCUCAUAAUGGACAAGAUCAUAAUCAUUCAACUGUGUGGACCUCAAGUUAGUUUGCAUUUUGGACAAGUUGCUUCAAGAAACCACCCCAUCAUUCAGACUUACACAAAUUUCUUCUUUUAGCUUCCAGGACUCUCAAAUUAUUGAGACAUUCAUUUGUCCCACAACUUUCUCCUGCACUAAACAGAGAUAGGAAAAAGGAUUUGAGAUGGCCAUUUUUUUCAACAGCUUUGGUUUUUGUGAAAAUGUCUGUAAUCAACAUCCAUCAAAAGCCUCACAAAUUGUGAAGCAUGGGAUUUAACAAUGAAGAAAUUAACAAAACCAUGUUCUACAUCCAUCCGAAUUACAUUUGAGAAGGGAAAACCUUGAGGACUAACAGGACCAAGAGUGAAAAUCAAAUUCAAGAGGAAACCUGUUUUCUGGAUAGCUAAAAUUAAACGAUAAGCACACUAGUUGAGACCAGCAUCCAGUCUCUUGGCCCAGCGACUUGAGAUGAGCACCUAGUCUGCUCACACUUCAAAUUUCACAUGAGACAGAUCUCCAUUUCCCAUUCUUUUGAUUAAAAAAAAAUUUCCUUUCUGAUCAACUAAAACCAGAAGAUGCAUAUUCAGAACUACCAGAUGCAGAACAAAAUUAACCUCUAAACUCCAAGAUUUACACCUUAUUGGAAACUAUUAUUAUACUUUUACCCCAUCCUUUAUGCAAUUAAUUUUCUUCAUUGCUUAGUCCUUGUUCUUCCAUUUGUGACAAUAUAUAUGUUUUUAUUUUCAGGCAACUAUCUAACACUCUAUUAUCAGUUCAGAUUUAGGCCCUUUUUCAAUAAAAAGGAACAAGAAUUUCCAGAGAUAAUACUAAUAUUUGCAAAACAAUCUAGCAAGGCACGCAUGAAGCAUCACUCUAUUGAAAGUUUGACAUUAAGGUUUGUUCAAAAAAAAACAAAAAAAGACUCUUUUGCUUCUCAUAUCUUGCCAGGAACACCAUAAAAUACAAUGCACAACAAUAAAAACAAAAUUUCCAGUACUAUUCAAUGCAAAUUUCCAUAGUACAUUUAUAUAAAUAUUUGGGAUGUAAUAAUACAAUUCAGUUGUCAGGAGUAAAGAACUAACCUCGUCUAAUUCUUUUGCUUUCUCCACGACACAAACAACACUAUAUCCGAAUCCCCAAACUUCACAUUCUUUUCCUUUACUUUCUCAGCAACCAAACACCAAACUUUUCCUCCAAAGCCUCAAAUUAACUCCUCUAAUACAAAUUCCGCUUCCAAAACAUCAGAUCUCAAAAAGAAUUCAGCCUUAAUAGUCCACUCAAACUGGCAAAACCCGUCGGGUUUGACCCUGGCCUGAGUCAGAUCCAUCCGGGGUUUUACUUAUGGAUAGUGCGAAUGCAGCUAUCAAGACACCCAGAAGAUCAGCGGCCGCAUCCUUGGCCGAUGCACCGGCAGAAGGGAAAAAGCCAAAUUGAUCAGCCGCUUCCUUCGCAGCGCCGGCGGCAAGGGAGAGGAUAGAACCUACAGGAACCGAAUAGCGACGGAGAAAGGAGUAACGUGCGAGGGAUGCUAGUUUGGAGAAGAAGACGGUUAGGAAGAGACAAAAGAGGACGUGGUAGAGCUUAUCCGGAGCCAGCCAUGGGUCCCCAUCGAUGCUGAACAUUGUGGGCAGGAGGUCAGGUCUUCGUUUGCUUCUGUAAGACUGUAAUUGAGCGGCUCAGUGCUCG
rnacentral:misc_RNA from 1 species